GGGGUCGUACUGGUUUUGACAGCAUAUGUGGCGGUUGGUGUAAGCAUGCAGUGCGUUGUGUAAUUAGCACUUUAAUCUGAAUGCUCAAACUUCAAAUGGCAAUACACAGUAUGCCAUGGCUGCCUAAUCAGAGAUUAGCGUAGUCAUUCGGGCCGCCGAACAGGUUGACCUGUUACCAGGUUCCGCCGCCGACUCAAAACAAACACAGGUUGCUGUAACAGAAGGCUGUGACUGUUACUUAAGACCAUACAGCUAAGUCCGGGAUCGGUUUGUUCGUUCCCUGUUCCGGGCCGACAAAUAAUAAUGAAAUAAGCAUGUAGAAAGCUAAUGGUUACGAUGUUUGGACAGGGGUUCGACUCCCCUCGGCUCCACAG
rnacentral:tmRNA from 2 species